GCGUCGCUCUGACAUUCAGACUUUAGACUCCAGAAGAGGACAGAGAGAGAGAGAGAAUGUAAUCACUUUCUAUUUUCUGACUUAUACUUUGAUGACUGGCUUUAUAACUUACUUUCUUGAAAGAAAAAAAAAAAUCAAGAAAUAAAAUCAAGAACAAAGUUGGUUUUAGUUCAGUAUGUGGAGAGAAAGAGGCUGACAGGAAGACAGAGAGACUCCAGAGAAAGAUGAGUUACUACCUUGUAGUUUUGUUGAAGCAUCAUUGGUUGUUGUUGUUUGUUUGUCACCCAACAAGCUGACACUGCUGGUAGGUUAUGUGUUUGAGUUAAACCUAUAGAGAGGCCCUGUCCUUUGAUUAUAAAUCAAAUCUGUCAGCUAGGGAGUGUGUAGUCGCUGUUUUUAAGGACUGAUUCUGGAGCAGCAUCAUGGAGCCUCCUCCAAAGCUGCCAGUGUUGAAAAGACAUCUUAUCUAAAUAAGAUAUAAGAUCCUCCAGAUUUAAGCUAAGAGCACAAGUCAUUUCAAUUCAGUCAGUUUAUUUAUUCUUCUUAUUUCACAGCAGGUCCAUCAGCCUCCACCUCUACCUCCAUCACUGGUUUCAUCCAGGAAGCUGACAGUGCUGGUCUACCUGUGGCUACUGAAGUGGAGAGCAGUACCAUCGUGGUACCAGCACACCUGUCUCUCCAGUUUCUGCUGCUCCAGUGGAUCCAGCUGACUGGACAUCAGGACUUAACGACCAGUUACACGUUGAUGUGGUGAGCGGUAAAACCAGCACAGGUUGACAGAGACAUUUAGACUUUUCCAAAAAGACACUCAGACAGUAAAAGUCUUUUCUAUCAUUACAUGUUUAGAUCACUCAUAAAGAAGCAGGUUGAGAAAAUGAUGCUGUCAGCUGUUUCCUAGUUUUUGUCUCUUAAACUCUUGUUUGGCUGUUAUUAAAGAUUUAAGCUUUGGUCAUAAUCA